rnacentral:rRNA from 1 species
UGCAAGUCGAACGGUGAAGCAGAGCUUGCUCUGUGGAUCAGUGGCGAACGGGUGAGUAACACGUGAGCAAUCUGCCCCUGACUCUGGGAUAACAGUUGGAAACAGCUGCUAAUACCGGAUACGAGAUGUGACCGCAUGGUCGAUGUCUGGAAAGAAUUUCGGUCAGGGAUGAGCUCGCGGCCUAUCAGCUUGUUGGUGAGGUAAUGGCUCACCAAGGCGUCGACGGGUAGCCGGCCUGAGAGGGUGACCGGCCACACUGGGACUGAGACACGGCCCAGACUCCUACGGGAGGCAGCAGUGGGGAAUAUUGCACAAUGGGCGAAAGCCUGAUGCAGCAACGCCGCGUGAGGGACGACGGCCUUCGGGUUGUAAACCUCUUUUAGCAGGGAAGAAGCGAAAGUGACGGUACCUGCAGAAAAAGCGCCGGCUAACUACGUGCCAGCAGCCGCGGUAAUACGUAGGGCGCAAGCGUUAUCCGGAAUUAUUGGGCGUAAAGAGCUCGUAGGCGGUUUGUCGCGUCUGCUGUGAAAUCCCGAGGCUCAACCUCGGGUCUGCAGUGGGUACGGGCAGACUAGAGUGCGGUAGGGGAGAUUGGAAUUCCUGGUGUAGCGGUGGAAUGCGCAGAUAUCAGGAGGAACACCGAUGGCGAAGGCAGAUCUCUGGGCCGUAACUGACGCUGAGGAGCGAAAGGGUGGGGAGCAAACAGGCUUAGAUACCCUGGUAGUCCACCCCGUAAACGUUGGGAACUAGUUGUGGGGUCCAUUCCACGGAUUCCGUGACGCAGCUAACGCAUUAAGUUCCCCGCCUGGGGAGUACGGCCGCAAGGCUAAAACUCAAAUGAAUUGACGGGGACCCGCACAAGCGGCGGAGCAUGCGGAUUAAUUCGAUGCAACGCGAAGAACCUUACCAAGGCUUGACAUAUACGAGAACGGGCCAGAAAUGGUCAACUCUUUGGACACUCGUAAACAGGUGGUGCAUGGUUGUCGUCAGCUCGUGUCGUGAGAUGUUGGGUUAAGUCCCGCAACGAGCGCAACCCUCGUUCUAUGUUGCCAGCACGUAAUGGUGGGAACUCAUGGGAUACUGCCGGGGUCAACUCGGAGGAAGGUGGGGAUGACGUCAAAUCAUCAUGCCCCUUAUGUCUUGGGCUUCACGCAUGCUACAAUGGCCGGUACAAAGGGCUGCAAUACCGUGAGGUGGAGCGAAUCCCAAAAAGCCGGUCCCAGUUCGGAUUGAGGUCUGCAACUCGACCUCAUGAAGUCGGAGUCGCUAGUAAUCGCAGAUCAGCAACGCUGCGGUGAAUACGUUCCCGGGUCUUGUACACACCGCCCGUCAAGUCAUGAAAGUCGGUAACACCUGAAGCCGGUGGCCCAACCCUUGUGGAGGGAGCUGUCGAAGGUGGGAUCGGUAAUUAGGACUAAGUCGUAACAAGGUAACGGA